rnacentral:rRNA from 1 species
UACGUAGGGUGCAAGCGUUAAUCGGAAUUACUGGGCGUAAAGCGUGCGCAGGCGGUGAUGUAAGACAGGUGUGAAAUCCCCGGGCUUAACCUGGGAACUGCAUUUGUGUACUGCAUCGCUGGAGUGCGGCAGAGGGGGAUGGAAUUCCGGCGUGUAGCAGUGAAAUGCAUAGAUAUCGUCAAGAACACCGAUAGCGAAGGCAGCUUACUGGGCUGUAACUGACGCUUGAGUGCACGAAAAGUGUGGGGAGUCAAACAGG